UACAGAGGGUGCGAGCGUUGUCCGGAAUCACUGGGCGUAAAGGGCGCGUAGGUGGCGCCGCAAGUCCAUGGUGAAAGCUCGAUGCUCAACAUCGAGUCGGCCACGGAGACUGCGGGGCUCGAGCACUGUAGGGGCAGAUGGAAUUCCGGGUGUAGCGGUGGAAUGCGUAGAGAUCCGGAAGAACACCGGUGGCGAAGGCGGGUCUCUGGGCCGAUACUGACGCUGAGGAGCGACAGCAUGGGGAGCAAACAGG
rnacentral:rRNA from 1 species